ACUCUUCACAACCCACUUUUUUGC
rnacentral:siRNA from 1 species